rnacentral:SRP_RNA from 1 species
GGCCGGGUCCUGUGCGACCGGGCCCCGUGAACCGGGUCAGGGCCGGGAGGCAGCAGCUCUCAGCGGAAACCCCGGAGCGCCGCAGGCAGCCUGGCCGUC